GACGAACGCUGGCGGCGUGCUUAACACAUGCAAGUCGAACGGAAAGGCCCUGCUUUUGUGGGGUGCUCGAGUGGCGAACGGGUGAGUAACACGUGAGUAACCUGCCCUUGACUUUGGGAUAACUUCAGGAAACUGGGGCUAAUACCGGAUAGGAGCUCCUGCUGCAUGGUGGGGGUUGGAAAGUUUCGGCGGUUGGGGAUGGACUCGCGGCUUAUCAGCUUGUUGGUGGGGUAGUGGCUUACCAAGGCUUUGACGGGUAGCCGGCCUGAGAGGGUGACCGGCCACAUUGGGACUGAGAUACGGCCCAGACUCCUACGGGAGGCAGCAGUGGGGAAUAUUGCACAAUGGGCGGAAGCCUGAUGCAGCAACGCCGCGUGCGGGAUGACGGCCUUCGGGUUGUAAACCGCUUUCGCCUGUGACGAAGCGUGAGUGACGGUAAUGGGUAAAGAAGCACCGGCUAACUACGUGCCAGCAGCCGCGGUGAUACGUAGGGUGCGAGCGUUGUCCGGAUUUAUUGGGCGUAAAGGGCUCGUAGGUGGUUGAUCGCGUCGGAAGUGUAAUCUUGGGGCUUAACCCUGAGCGUGCUUUCGAUACGGGUUGACUUGAGGAAGGUAGGGGAGAAUGGAAUUCCUGGUGGAGCGGUGGAAUGCGCAGAUAUCAGGAGGAACACCAGUGGCGAAGGCGGUUCUCUGGGCCUUUCCUGACGCUGAGGAGCGAAAGCGUGGGGAGCGAACAGGCUUAGAUACCCUGGUAGUCCACGCUGUAAACGGUGGGUACUAGGUGUGGGGUCCAUUCCACGGGUUCCGUGCCGUAGCUAACGCUUUAAGUACCCCGCCUGGGGAGUACGGCCGCAAGGCUAAAACUCAAAGGAAUUGACGGGGCCCCGCACAAGCGGCGGAGCAUGCGGAUUAAUUCGAUGCAACGCGUAGAACCUUACCUGGGUUUGACAUGGAUCGGGAGCGCUCAGAGAUGGGUGUGCCUCUUUUGGGGUCGGUUCACAGGUGGUGCAUGGCUGUCGUCAGCUCGUGUCGUGAGAUGUUGGGUUAAGUCCCGCAACGAGCGCAACCCUUGUUCACUGUUGCCAGCACGUUAUGGUGGGGACUCAGUGGAGACCGCCGGGGUCAACUCGGAGGAAGGUGGGGAUGACGUCAAGUCAUCAUGCCCCUUAUGUCCAGGGCUUCACGCAUGCUACAAUGGCUGGUACAGAGAGUGGCGAGCCUGUGAGGGUGAGCGAAUCUCGGAAAGCCGGUCUCAAUUCGGAUUGGGGUCUGCAACUCGACCUCAUGAAGUCGGAGUCGCUAGUAAUCGCAGAUCAGCAACGCUGCGGUGAAUACGUUCCCGGG
rnacentral:rRNA from 1 species